rnacentral:rRNA from 1 species
AAGUCGUAACAAGUUUCCGUAGGUGAACCUGCGGAAGGAUCAUUACCGAAUCGUCAAACACGGGUUGUUGCUGGCCUCCAAACGGGGGCACGUGCACGCUCUGUUUACGCAUCCACUCACACCUGUGCACCCUCUGUAGUCUAUGGUUCGGAAGACCCCGUCUUCCUUCUGUAGCUCUACGUCUUUACACACACGCCGUAGCGAUGUCUCAUGGAAUGUUUUUAUGCGUUUGACGCGAUACAAUACAACUUUCAGCAACGGAUCUCUUGGCUCUCGCAUCGAUGAAGAACGCAGCGAAAUGCGAUAAGUAAUGUGAAUUGCAGAAUUCAGUGAAUCAUCGAAUCUUUGAACGCACCUUGCGCCCCUUGGUUAUUCCUUGGAGCAUGCCUGUUUGAGUAUCAUGAACACCUCAACUCUCAUGGUCUUCCAUGAUGAGCUUGGACUUUGGGGGUUUGCUGGCCCUGCGGCCGGCUCCUCUCAAAUGAAUCAGCUUGCCAGUGUUUGGUGGCAUCACGGGUGUGAUAACUAUCUACGCUCGCGGUCGUCUGCCAGGUAACCCUCAGCGAUGAGGGUUCAUUGGAGCUCAUAAACGUCUCUCCUCGGCGAAGACAACUU